rnacentral:rRNA from 1 species
UGAGGAAUAUUGGGCAAUGGGCGAAAGCCUGACCCAGCAACGCCGCGUGGAGGAUGAAUGCCGUAAGGUUGUAAACUCCUUUUAUAGGGGACGAAAAUCCUUUUUGAGGAAUUGACUGUACCCUUUGAAUAAGCCCCGGCUAACUACGUGCCAGCAGCCGCGGUAAUACGUAGGGGGCUAGCGUUGUCCGGAUUUACUGGGUGUAAAGGGCGCGUAGGCGGGCCCGUUAGUCAGAGGUGAAAUCCUGCGGCUUAACCGUAGAACUGCCUUUGAUACUGCGGGUCUUGAGUUCGGAAGAGAGAAGCGGAAUUCCAGGUGUAGUGGUGAAAUACGUAGAUAUCUGGAAGAACACCAGUAGCGAAGGCGGCUUCUUGGUCCGUAACUGACGCUGAGGCGCGAAAGCGUGGGGAGCAAACAGGAUUAGAUACCCCCGUAGUCC